CGAAAGGGACAGUGACAGAGUGAAGACUGAGGGAUGCAAACUGGCGAGGGCCCAAAAAAGGUGAGGUACAAUUCAAGAUGUCAACUGACCAGAGAAACAGUCAAUGACUACAUAAACUGCCAAUUUAGUACAACUGUACAUCAUGUCUUGCCUGUUCUAUGUCUUGAACAUAAAAUACCCGAAGGAGGCAUCGUUCACCCUGGGUCUACCUGCUGGUUAUACAGUAGCUCUGUUUGAGAAUCCCUGAGGCCAUCGCAUCUGAAUCCACUAAAGCUACACGCUUGAGCACCGUUUGCCAAACGUCAUUCCACAACUAUUUCCAUGUCUUCCAAUUUACAUUAUAGGUGUGUGUGUGUGUGUGUGUGUGUGUGUGUGUGUGUGUGUGUGUGUGUGUGUGUGUGUGUGUGUGUGUGUGUGUGUGUGUGUGUGUGUGUGUGUGUGUGUGUGUGUGUGUGUUGUUUCCGCUGGAGCACCGGUGCCGAGACAGAAACAAAUAUAUACACACACACACACUAUACAAACACACACACACACACACUAGAGAAACACAGAGAGAGAGAGAGACACUCACAAAUACACACACACACACUCAGGGACAUUAUGUUAUGUUCAAUCUGCUGUUGAACUACUAAAGAGAAUGCUGAACAUGGAAUCUAAAUGCAUGAUCACAAGCUGCCUCUGGGCCUUAGCUGCAAGCAGGCUGGCUAUGCAGUAUUUCUGUGUGCAUUGAUGCUACUAGCAAUGCAUUUCCAAUGAGACGUGGCCUUUGUGGCACAACAGACACAGAAAGAAACUAGCUAGCACCGAUAGUACGACUGUUAAUAAGUGUUCAUAUGUCCUGAUAACGAGACUACACAUCCUGCUGGGGCACCAGGACUCUCCUGGAGAAAAAAAAGGAAUAAGUUCUAGUGACCGGUUGGGAUCCACCGUAACCAUGAAACACAUGGAGAUAAGAUUUAAAUAGGAUGAACAUUAGGAAUAGGUAGAAUGGAAAUUAAUAAAAAAUGAUGUCGGCCACCCACUGAAGGGGUCAGGGUGGAAUAGAUUCCACUGAAGGGGUCAGGGUGGAAUAGAUUCCAAUAAAGGGGUCAGGGUGGAAUAGAUUCCACUAAAGGGGUCAGGGUGGAAUAGAUUCCACUAAAGGGGUCAGGGUGGAAUAGAUUCCAAUAAAGGGGUCAGGGUGGAAUAGAUUCCACUAAAGGGGUCAGGGUGGAAUAGAUUCCAAUAAAGGGGUCAGGGUGGAAUAGAUUCCACUAAAGGGGUCAGGGUGGAAUAGAUUCCACUAAAGGGGUCAGGGUGGAAUAGAUUCCGCUAAAGGGGUCAGGGUGGAAUAGAUUCCACUAAAGGGGUCAGGGUGGAAUAGAUUCCAAUAAAGGGGUCAGGGUGGAAUAGAUUCCAAUAAAGGGGUCAGGGUGGAAUAGAUUCCACUAAAGGGGUCAGGGUGGAAUAGAUUCCACUAAAGGGGUCAGGGUGGAAUAGAUUCCACUAAAGGGGGUCAGGGUGGAAUAGAUUCCACUAAAGGGGUCAGGGUGGAAUAGAUUCCACUAAAGGGGUCAGGGUGGAAUAGAUUCCACUAAAGGGGGUCAGGGUGGAAUAGAUUCCACUAAAGGGGUCAGGAUGGAAUAGAUUCCACUAAAGGGGUCAGGGUGGAAUAGAUUCCACUAAAGGGGUCAGGGUGGAAUAGAUUCCAAUAAAGGGGUCAGGGUGGAAUAGAUUCCAAUAAAGGGGUCAGGGUGGAAUAGAUUCCACUAAAGGGGUCAGGGUGGAAUAGAUUCCACUAAAGGGGUCAGGGUGGAAUAGAUUCCACUAAAGGGGUCAGGGUGGAAUAGAUUCCACUAAAGGGG
rnacentral:lncRNA from 1 species